rnacentral:rRNA from 1 species
AAGAGUUUGGUCCUGGGCUCAGGAUGAACGCUGGCGGUGCGCCUAAUGCAUGCAAGUCGAGCGACGCAUACCGGAGGGGUAACCCACUGGUAUGACGGAGCGGCGAACGGGUGAGUAACACGUGAGCAACCUGCCCCACAGAUCGGGAUAGCCCAGGGAAACCUGGAUUAAUACCGGAUACCCUCCUCGGACCGCAUGGUCCGUUGAGGAAAUGCCUUUGUGCUGUGGGAUGGGCUCGCGACUUAUCAGUUAGUUGGUGGGGUAACGGCCUACCAAGACAGUGACGAGUAGCUGGUCUGAGAGGACGAUCAGCCACACUGGGACUGAGACACGGCCCAGACUCCUACGGGAGGCAGCAGCAGGGAAUCUUGCGCAAUGGGCGAAAGCCUGACGCAGCGACACCGCGUGGGGGAUGAAGGCCUUCGGGUUGUAAACCCCUUUCAGGAGGGAAGAAAUUGACGGUACCUCCAGAAGAAGCACCGGCCAACUACGUGCCAGCAGCCGCGGUAAUACGUAAGGGCGCGAGCGGUUAUCCGGAAUCAUUGGGGCGUAAAGANGCUCGUAGGCGGGUUCAGCAAAGUCCGGCUGUGAAAAGUUCNAGGCUCAACCUCGAAA